CAUGUUAGUCGAAAGGUCGAGCAGAGUAAAUUGGCAGGCGUUCGUCAUCUCACUCUGAUGAAAGGUUUUGUGGGUCUGCGUGGGAUAUUCCACCAAACUUUCCAUGAUGGUCCUCGCCUCAGGAAUGGCAACAUUCGUCCUGGCUGUGGAUACCACAUGCAGAAUUCAAUGUAUGGCGUCAGCGGUGGAGGUUCCUGCAGUUUUCAGCACUCGACCCAAGUCCUCACAUCUGUCGGCAACCACACGCAUUGUCAAACAAAUGUCACGUCAGGUAUCCUGAAGCCAAUUGUAUAGCAGGAAAUGUGAAAUUUUGCAUGACAACAUUGUUUAUGACAAUUUGUUUACUAUAUUAUGUUGGCAGGCUAAGAAAUAGUUGAGAUGUUUAGAUGACCUCCUAUGAUGGAAAAUAAUGUUAUUUAAAUUGGAACAGGGGCGGCCCGGUAUCCAGUGGUUAGCACGUCGGCUUCACAGUGCAGGGGUACCGGGUUCGAUUCCAGCUCCGGCCUCCCUGUGUGGAGUUUGCAUGUUCUCCCCGGGCCUGCGUGGGUUUUCUCCGGGUGCUCCGGUUUCCUCCCACAUUCCAAAAAACAUGCGUGGCAGGCUGAUUGAACACUGUAAAUUGUCCCUAGGUGUGAGUGUGAGCGCGAAUGGUUGUUCGUUUCUCUGUGCCCUGCGAUUGGCUGGCAACCGAUUCAGGGUGUCCCCCGCCUACUGCCCGAAGACAGCUGGGAUAGGCUCCAGCAUCCCGCGACCCUAGUGAGGAUCAAGCGGCUCGGAAGAUGAAUGAAUGAAUAUAUAUUCACACACGUUGUUUUCAGAACUAUAUUUAAGCAUAUUUUUAAGGGAAAUAGCCAAAGCUUGUGGCCCAAAUGGAGCCGGCACUACGUACCGCGCGGGCUACAUUCACAUGAUUAAUUUAAUCGCAGAUAUACUGUCGUUUUUAUUCUUGUUCUCGUCCUUUUCUCAUUCAUUUUCCCCUCAAUGUUUAUUUAUUCAAAAAAAAUAAAAUGUUACAUGACAUCAGAGAUUUUAUUUACAUUUAGUACCACAAACGCAUUCACACAAAAGUUCAAAUAAUUGAAACGCAAAAGUCCUGGUCUCCAUUACCAGGUGCAAAUGUGAAAGCACCCAUCAUCCCUCAACGUGAGCGUCUCUCGGUUUAUAUUUCAGUACUUGUGAUGAUUU